rnacentral:piRNA from 1 species
UAUGAUGUGCAGUUUGAAUUUCAUAAAUUUC